UACGGGGGGGGCAAGCGUUGUUCGGAAUUACUGGGCGUAAAGGGCCAGUAGGCGGCCAACUAAGUCCGACGUGAAAUCCCAAGGCUUAACCUUGGAACUGCGUCGGAUACUGGAUGGCUUGAAUUCGGGAGAGGGAUGCAGAAUUCCAGGUGUAGCGGUGAAAUGCGUAGAUAUCAGGAGGAACACCGGUGGCGAAGGCGGGUCUCUGGGCCGAUACUGACGCUGAGGAGCGAAAGCGUGGGGAGCAAACAGG
rnacentral:rRNA from 1 species